GAGCGAUGGAAGCAGACUGGCCCCUUGGGGGUGAGGUUUGUGGAUGGGUCGGCGGACGGUUGAGUACCCCUGGGGCAACCUUCCUGUUUGAUUGGGAUAUCUCCGGGAAACUGGUGCUAAUGCUCAAAAGUCUUUUCCAUCGGAAAGAGGAAAAGUGAAAGAUGGUUUCGGCUAUCUAUUACAGAUGGGCCGGCGGCGCAUUACCUAGUUGGUGGGGUAAAGGCCUACCAAGGCAACGAUGCGUACCCAACCUGAAAGGGUGAUCGGCCACACUGGGACAGAGACACGGCCCAGACUCCUACGGGAGGCAGCAGUAGGGAAUCUUCCGCAAUGGACGAAAGUCUGACGAAGCACCGCCGCGUGAGUGAUGAAGGUUUUCGGAUCGAAAAACUCUGUUGUUAGGGAAGAACAAGUACAAGAGUAACUGCUCGUACCUUGACGGUACUUAACCAGAAGGCCCCGGCUAACUACGUGCCAGCAGCCGCGGUAAUACUUAGGGGGCGAGCGUUGUCCGGAAUUAUUGGGCGUAAAGCGCGCGCAGGCGGUCCUUUAAGUCUGAUGUGAAAGCCCACGGCUUAGCCGUGAAGGGUCAUUGGAACUGGAGGACUUGAGUGCAAAGAGGAGAGUGCACUCCAUGUGGAGCGGUGAAAUGCGUAGAGAUAUGAAGGAACACAGUGGCGAAUGCGACUCUCUGGUCUGUAACUG
rnacentral:rRNA from 1 species